rnacentral:misc_RNA from 1 species
AUAGUAAUGGCUAUCAGUAUCAGUACCACACAUGCAGUUAGGGGGAUGAGAAAUAAAUGUAGUUGAGUUGUUACAUCCUUAUAAUUUUUAUAUUGGUCGAUGUUUCAUUGAAAAGAGGUAACUAUGAACCCAGGUGAUUUCGUUCAACAUAAUUUUCAUUGCAGGAGUUCAUACUGUCCUCGAGAGCCGUGGUUCUCAUUCUUACCGUGGGAGAUCAUCCAUGGGAUCUGCCAACAUUUCGGGGAGUAGUUGUAACAUCAGCAAUUACGUGAACUCUUCCAUGCUCCAGAAUCCUUGGCAAGAACUUGAACAGAUGCAAAAAUCUUUUUCAUAUUCCUGAAUCUGAAAGUCAAAUCAGAAGCUUAUGAUAGAAUUUCUAACUUGUGAGUUGUCUGUCUGACAUGGAAAAUAAAAUGUCACACUAAAAAAAA